AGCCGGCGAUGUCCGAAUGGGGAAACCCAGUGUGAUUCGUCACACUAUCGUUAACUGAAUACAUAGGUUAACGAGGCGAACCGGGGGAACUGAAACAUCUAAGUACCCCGAGGAAAAGAAAUCAACCGAGAUUCCCCCAGUAGCGGCGAGCGAACGGGGAGCAGCCCAGAGUCUGAAUCAGCUUGUGUGUUAGUGGAACGGUCUGGAAAGUCCGACGGUACAGGGUGAUAGUCCCGUACACCAAAAUGCACAGGUUGUGAACUCGAAGAGUAGGGCGGGACACGUGGUAUCCUGUCUGAAUAUGGGGGGACCAUCCUCCAAGGCUAAAUACUCCUGACUGACCGAUAGUGAACCAGUACCGUGAGGGAAAGGCGAAAAGAACCCCGGCGAGGGGAGUGAAAAAGAACCUGAAACCGUGUACGUACAAGCAGUGGGAGCACCUUCGGGUGUGACUGCGUACCUUUUGUAUAAUGGGUCAGCGACUUAUAUUCUGUAGCAAGGUUAACCGUAUAGGGGAGCCGCAGGGAAACCGAGUCUUAACUGGGCGUUAAGUUGCAGGGUAUAGACCCGAAACCCGGUGAUCUAGCCAUGGGCAGGUUGAAGGUUGGGUAACACUAACUGGAGGACCGAACCGACUAAUGUUGAAAAAUUAGCGGAUGACUUGUGGCUGGGGGUGAAAGGCCAAUCAAACCGGGAGAUAGCUGGUUCUCCCCGAAAGCUAUUUAGGUAGCGCCUCGUGAACUCAUCUUCGGGGGUAGAGCACUGUUUCGGCUAGGGGGUCAUCCCGACUUACCAACCCGAUGCAAACUACGAAUACCGAAGAAUGUUAUCACGGGAGACACACGGCGGGUGCUAACGUCCGUCGUGAAGAGGGAAACAACCCAGACCGCCAGCUAAGGUCCCAAAGUCACAGUUAAGUGGGAAACGAUGUGGGAAGGCACAGACAGCCAGGAUGUUGGCUUAGAAGCAGCCAUCAUUUAAAGAAAGCGUAAUAGCUCACUGGUCGAGUCGGCCUGCGCGGAAGAUGUAACGGGGCUAAACUGUGCACCGAAGCUGCGGCAGCGACACUAUGUGUUGUUGGGUAGGGGAGCGUUCUGUAAGCCUGCGAAGGUGGCCUGUGAGGGUUGCUGGAGGUAUCAGAAGUGCGAAUGCUGACAUAAGUAACGAUAAUGCGGGUGAAAAGCCCGCACGCCGGAAGACCAAGGGUUCCUGUCCAACGUUAAUCGGGGCAGGGUGAGUCGACCCCUAAGGCGAGGCCGAAAGGCGUAGUCGAUGGGAAACAGGUUAAUAUUCCUGUACUUGGUGUUACUGCGAAGGGGGGACGGAGAAGGCUAUGUUAGCCGGGCGACGGUUGUCCCGGUUUAAGCAUGUAGGCGGAGGUUCCAGGUAAAUCCGGUACCUUUUUAACGCUGAGGUGUGAUGACGAGGCACUACGGUGCUGAAGUAACAAAUGCCCUGCUUCCAGGAAAAGCCUCUAAGCAUCAGGUAACAUCAAAUCGUACCCCAAACCGACACAGGUGGUCAGGUAGAGAAUACCAAGGCGCUUGAGAGAACUCGGGUGAAGGAACUAGGCAAAAUGGUGCCGUAACUUCGGGAGAAGGCACGCUGAUAUGUAGGUGAAGCCCCUGCGGGUGGAGCUGAAAUCAGUCGAAGAUACCAGCUGGCUGCAACUGUUUAUUAAAAACACAGCACUGUGCAAACACGAAAGUGGACGUAUACGGUGUGACGCCUGCCCGGUGCCGGAAGGUUAAUUGAUGGGGUUAUCCGUAAGGAGAAGCUCUUGAUCGAAGCCCCGGUAAACGGCGGCCGUAACUAUAACGGUCCUAAGGUAGCGAAAUUCCUUGUCGGGUAAGUUCCGACCUGCACGAAUGGCGUAAUGAUGGCCAGGCUGUCUCCACCCGAGACUCAGUGAAAUUGAACUCGCUGUGAAGAUGCAGUGUACCCGCGGCAAGACGGAAAGACCCCGUGAACCUUUACUAUAGCUUGACACUGAACAUUGAGCCUUGAUGUGUAGGAUAGGUGGGAGGCUUUGAAGCGUGGACGCCAGUCUGCGUGGAGCCAACCUUGAAAUACCACCCUUUAAUGUUUGAUGUUCUAACGUUGGCCCCUAAUCGGGGUUGCGGACAGUGUCUGGUGGGUAGUUUGACUGGGGCGGUCUCCUCCCAAAGAGUAACGGAGGAGCACGAAGGUUAGCUAAUCCUGGUCGGACAUCAGGAGGUUAGUGCAAUGGCAUAAGCUAGCUUGACUGCGAGCGUGACGGCGCGAGCAGGUGCGAAAGCAGGUCAUAGUGAUCCGGUGGUUCUGAAUGGAAGGGCCAUCGCUCAACGGAUAAAAGGUACUCCGGGGAUAACAGGCUGAUACCGCCCAAGAGUUCAUAUCGACGGCGGUGUUUGGCACCUCGAUGUCGGCUCAUCACAUCCUGGGGCUGAAGUAGGUCCCAAGGGUAUGGCUGUUCGCCAUUUAAAGUGGUACGCGAGCUGGGUUUAGAACGUCGUGAGACAGUUCGGUCCCUAUCUGCCGUGGGCGCUGGAGAAUUGAGGGGGGCUGCUCCUAGUACGAGAGGACCGGAGUGGACGCAUCACUGGUGUUCGGGUUGUCAUGCCAAUGGCAUUGCCCGGUAGCUAAAUGCGGAAGAGAUAAGUGCUGAAAGCAUCUAAGCACGAAACUUGCCCCGAGAUGAGUUCUCCCUGAGACUUUAAGUCUCCUGAAGGAACGUUAAAGACGAUGACGUUGAUAGGUCGGGUGUGUAAGCGUAGCGAUACGUUGAGCUAACCGAUACUAAUGAACCGUGAGGCUUAACCUUACAACGCCGAAGCUGUU
rnacentral:rRNA from 1 species